ensembl:snRNA U6 U6 spliceosomal RNA
GUCAUCUUGCUUUGGCAGGACAUAUACUAGAGUUGGGACAAUAUGAAGAAGAUUAGCAUGACCUCUGCCCAAGCAUGAGAGGUAAAUUUGUGAAGUGUUCCAUAUUUUA